ACGCUCGACACCUACGGGAGGCAGCAGUGGGGAAUAUUGCACAAUGGGGAAACCCUGAUGCAGCGACGCCGCGUGGAGGAAGAAGGUCUUCGGAUUGUAAACUCCUGUUGUUGGGGAAAAAGAGGAUGGUACCCAACAAGGAAGUGACGGCUAACUACGUGCAGCAGCCGCGGUAAUCUGAGCGGGCUGGCAAGGC
rnacentral:rRNA from 1 species